rnacentral:misc_RNA from 1 species
AAGUCGUAACAAGGUUUCCGUAGGUGAACCUGCGGAAGGAUCAUUACCGAGAGACGGGGUCUAAUCGGCCCCACUCCUCACCCGUGUAUACCUACCACUGUUGCUUUGGCGGGCCACCGAGCUCUAUUCGGGGUCGGUCGGGAGGAUCGCUCCUUCCGGCCGGGCCAGCGCCCGCCAGAGGACCCAAAAACUCUUAUCCAGUACCGUCCGAGAAAUAGCAGUAACAGUUAAAACUUUCAACAACGGAUCUCUUGGUUCUG